ensembl:snoRNA
CACCUCCUUUUCACUUUGCUAAUUGGUGAAAUGUCUUUAUUGAUUAUUUAAGUGGAGCAAAGAAAAUGUCCUUUGAAAGCUCAGGCAAAUUGAGUGUUUGUUUUGUAAGUUAGAGGAAACAAAU